AUACGGAGGAUCCGAGCGUUAUCCGGAUUUAUUGGGUUUAAAGGGUGCGCAGGCGGGAGAUUAAGUCGGCGGUGAAAUUUUGCAGCUCAACUGUAAAAGUGCCUUCGAUACUGGUUUCCUUGAGUGUGGAUGAAGUAGGCGGAAUUUGUGGUGUAGCGGUGAAAUGCUUAGAUAUCACGAGGAACUCCGAUUGCGCAGGCAGCUUACUAAACCACUACUGACGCUCAGGCACGAAGGCGUGGGGAUCAAACAGGAUUAGAUACCCUGGUAGUCCACGCAGUAAACGAUGAUUACUGGCUGUUUGCGAUAUACUGUAAGCGGCUUAGUUAAAGCAUUAAGUGAACCACCUGGGGAGUACGAUCGCAAGGUUGAAACUCAAAGGAAUUGACGGGG
rnacentral:rRNA from 1 species